rnacentral:rRNA from 1 species
AUUGAACGCUGGCGGCAGGCCUAACACAUGCAAGUCGAACGGUAACAGGAAACAGCUUGCUGUUUCGCUGACGAGUGGCGGACGGGUGAGUAAUGUCUGGGAAACUGCCUGAUGGAGGGGGAUAACUACUGGAAACGGUAGCUAAUACCGCAUAACGUCGCAAGACCAAAGAGGGGGACCUUCGGGCCUCUUGCCAUCGGAUGUGUCCAGAUGGGAUUAGCUAGUAGGUGGGGUAACGGCUCACCUAGGCGACGAUCCCUAGCUGGUCUGAGAGGAUGACCAGCCACACUGGAACUGAGACACGGUCCAGACUCCUACGGGAGGCAGCAGUGGGGAAUAUUGCACAAUGGGCGCAAGCCUGAUGCAGCCAUGCCGCGUGUAUGAAGAAGGCCUUCGGGUUGUAAAGUACUUUCAGCGGGGAGGAAGGGAGUAAAGUUAAUACCUUUACUCAUUGACGUUACCCGCAGAAGAAGCACCGGCUAACUCCGUG